CACCUUUAUCUGUCAGAUCACGAGAAAAACACCAGGUAAAUCCCAGUGGCCCUGACACCCACACCAGGAAAGCCCCGACAGGAAACGGGGUGCCAUCCCGUGAGUGUGGGCGCAGGACCCUCAGCACGGCGGACGGAGCACAGCGUGCCCGGGCUGCUCACCGCGCCCAGGGUGGGUCCCCGAAACGCUGCUUGGCUCAAAACAAGAAAGCACGUCGACGUAGCACACACAUCACGCACAGAGGGCGCACCCACAUGCUCACCUCAUUUGACGACACCCAACACGCGUUCAUGAUAAAGACGACGACUUGGGAGCAGAGGGGCUGCCUCCACCUGCAAGGGCCCCCCGGGAACCCCCAGCGAUGGCAUUCUGAGGGGACGGACAGGAGGCUCUUCCCUGAAAGCAGGGCCGCCGCUGCCCACCUCCCAGUCUGGCUGCCGGCGGGGCCUGGCUGGGCAGUGUGACGGCGAGAGGGGGGGCGGCACCAGGUCAGAGAGGAGGGCACAGAACCGUCUCUGUGCAGAUGGCAUCGCCUGUGUGCAGAGGAUGCCCAGAAACCCACCAACAGCAGCAAAGAGAACUGUCAGCAUGAACCAGCUCAGCGAGGGCGCCAGACGCGAGCUCCAUGCACCGAAAGGAGCUGUUUCUGGAGAAUGCGCACGAGUAAGGCGAGCGUGGAGCGGAGAGUCCUCCCCUCCCGGCCACACCAGGGGCCUGCACUGCCAGGUCCUCCCCUCCCGGCCACACCAGGGGCCUGCACUGCGAGGAGGUGCCAGUGCGUUCGCUGACCUUCACGACGGGAGGCCCUGUGCUCGCGAUGGAAGGCGACCCUGCCCGGCCCACCCCAGGAGCCGUCAGCACCCCACCUGCCGCACAGAAACGGACACGGGACCCUGAAAGGCACCUGCAGCUGCAAGAGACCUCGUGGGUCAGACCACCCGCAAGAGACAGGAGCCAUCACUUCCCAAUUCACUUCCCUCUGCAGGGGCGCGGCUCCCAGCCCAGAGGGGCCUGAGGAGGUGGGACCGCUCAGUGCUCUGGGGGGUCCUGGGACAGAAACAGGCUUAGGGGCGGGAGCCCGAAGGAAGAAGCAGCUACUGAGAGGGGCUUCUGGUGGCAAACGAGGCUGAAGUUACACACAAGAGCCAGCCGCAGUUCUGACCGCCUGGGGGGACUGUUCUGUCCUCGCUGUGGGCACAAACACGAACGGUGUUAACGUUCACAGAGCUGCCCGCUGCCCGGAGAGGACAGCGCCCUGAGGCUUCCGAGGCCGCGAGCAGGGAGGCACUUGGAAGUGGAAGAUCCCACAAGAGGCGCGUUCACUGAGCCAAGCAGGAGGAAUAGUAACAGCACAGACGCGAGAGGCAGCAGAUCCUGACCCGACAUCCACAUCCUCCGACCGUCCGCAGACGCGCACCCGCAGGACACGCACGGGAGGGAGACGCGCACGGAGCCACAGCCGUCAGCCACCACACAGAGCCCCAGUGAGGCUGCCGGGGCCGCCGGACCCGCCGAGAGCACCAUGUCCGGGACAGGUGUGCUGUCCCAGCGCUGGUCCUGCUCAGCUCUGCCUUCCUGCCACUCAGAGCCAAGGCGGCCCACCAGGUGCCCGAACGGGAGCCGGUCCACACACUUGGCCCUGUCCCAGCUCGACUGACCCGAGGCCGCCAGGGCAGAGCCCACGCAGCACAACCUGCACCAGGGGCCCGGGCGCGAGCUCCACGCCCAGAAUACAGGUUCUGCUGAAAGGGGACGUCUCAAGGUCCCCUCACAGCUUCCACUCACUUUGUAAAACAAUGUUUUUAUUGAUUUUUAGAGAGAAAGGGAGGGAGAAGGAGAGAGAGAAAUAUCAAUAAUGAGAGAGAAUCGUCGAUCGGCUGCCUCCUGCAUGCCCCCUCCUGGGGAACCGAGCCCAUGACCCGGGCAUGUGCCCUGACUGGGAAUGGAACCGUGACCUCCUGGCUCAUAGAUCGACACCCAACACUGAGCCACACUGGCCGGGCCUACCCUCACUUUUGUUGGGGUUCAGCUUUGCUGCUGUGGACCUGGAGGACUCCCUGUGCUUAACCAGGCAGAUUUCAUGACCAGAAUCCGGCAGCCAUAAGGGACAGAGGCCUGCCAGGCAGACUGCACUUCAGGGAGAAGCCUCUGCCUGAGCCCUCGGCCUCCUGGACUGCAGUGUCCUGCGGCUGAGCAGACCUGGUAGAGCAGCUCCUGGUAUCCUCUUUCCACCAAUCGGCUGAGACCAGCACCUGCCCAUUCCAGCUGCACAGCUAUACCUCAUCUGCAUAUGCUGACCAAUCAGAGCAGCUCCGUUACCACUCAGAAUGUCUGAAGCUGACCAAUCAGACGGUGUAAAUCUGGAUUCCUCAUUUGCAUGGAAAUGGGCCAAUGGGGAACCAGGGCAGGAAGGAACCUGCUCUAGAAGAGACAGCCUCUCCUUUGCCUGCAGGAGGCGCCUGCCCUUCGGCUUCCCAGUGGGCAAGACGGCUUCCCAGUGGGCAAGACGUUCACUUGCGACAGGUUCCCCCUUUCCACACGGCAGCCGGCCCUUUGCUGACGGCCGGGACGGGCUGGUGUGCAGACCUGUGACGACUCUCUGCCUGGGGCCACACCAUCACCUGACCCCGUGCGCCCAGCCCGUUGCAGCGGCUUGCUUACCUGGAAGAGGAUGAAGAUGAGGAACAGCUCGUAGACCACGCUGACACACAGCCAGAACCUCCAGUACGCUGCGAAGACAGAGACAGCGUCAGGGCGCCCGGCCGCGGUCCGGACACACCGUCCGCUCUGGCCCUGCUUGGUCUAGCAGGUUCCUUACAGCACGACCUGGCUCAGGUGACGCAAACCCCAGCCAACUCUUAGGAGCAAGUUCCCGGGACUAGAAAGGGGCUGACAAGCUUCGCAGACUCGGGGCCAGGAGAGCGGGGCGGGCCGGGUCGCUCUGGGACGUCUCCAGCUCCCCGCCCUGUGCAGCGGGCCCCCAUCAGGACAGACGUAGCUGUGACCUGUCCGUGCACCUGCCGAGGGAAGACCAGCGUGCAGCAGGAAGCACAGUGUGGGCCCAGGCUCGUGCGCUCAGAGCCCUGGGCCUGGGAGGAGCAGCCAAGGCGACAGGCGCGUUCUCCUGCGCUCACGUGGCUAAAGCUUGGGAAAUGCUCCCUGGUCCAAGGGCUGCGAGAGCAGUUACUGGGCUGAUGGUGCAAUCACAGGGCCCCCCCGCCUGCAGGCGCCCUGCACAUCACCCCCCACGGGCCCCAGACCAAGCCUGCAGGCGCCCUUCCCCCACUGCUGCUGUGCACCCCACACCCCGCACCUGCUGGCACAGAGGGCGGCCACCCAGAGCCCCCACUGUCACCCUGUGGUGCCCCCCCAUUUCCACCACCAGGAGGUUGGUCUCCGGCCCCGAUUCAGGACGCCCCCCGGCUUUCUCCCUGAACAUCGAAGCUGGCCGUCACAGCGCUGGCAGCCCCGCCCUGACUGGCCCCCCGCUGUCGGAGGGAGAGAGACACAUCAGAAGGGAAGUGCCUUCUCGAGGACAACCAGGUUUCCAGAGAGAGAAGCCCAGAGAGCCUCCUCCCAGUGACGCGGGAGGGGGGAGCGCCCCCACCACACUCCUCUGUGGAGUCAGAGCCCCCUCCCACUGCCCCCUGGGUGUGCUGCGCAGGGCAGAGAGUUCGCCUGGCAGGAGACAUGGCGAGCUCCCUGCCAACAGGCCCUCGCUCACAAGCAUGGUGCCCACUAGGCCACGAACACGUCCCUUCUGAGGGCCAGUGGGGUCAUCACGGCUCCUCCUCCCAGGACUCAGAUGGAGAGAGCCCAGAUGCGCACACAGGUGGUGGGAACGCUCAUUGCAGCUCCUGGGGACCCCGAAGCAGCCCCCGCAAGGAACGGGUUCACUGAGCACAUUCAUGUGGCGGCUGAACAAGCAGCCGUUAAAGUCAAGCUGUCAGCCCUGGCCGGUUGCUUGGCGGUUAGAGUGUCGGCCCAAGGAUCGAAGGGUCUCAGGUUUGAUUCCCGGCCAAGGGUAAGUUCCCUGGUUGCAGGUUCGUCCCCAGGAGGCAACCAAUGUGUC